UUAAGAAUGCUACUUGUAUAGGCCCAGUGGUUAAUGAACAAGCAAAUCAAAUUUCUAUUUCUUGUAAAGUGGAACAAGUUUUAACAAAUCUCGUAUGUUUAUUUUACGAUCAUCAAAACCAGUUACUUGACGCAAAGAGCACAACUUAUACCAUCCGAGAAAUAGUGAACGAAACAAGUUAUACAGCAGGAGAAUGCAAGCACACAGAAUCUAUAACAAAAGCUGGAGUAGGGGAACACACAUUUUCUGUACUGCUGUAUCCAAAUAUUAAAAAGGGGGAGUCAUAUGGAGAGAAGAUUUACUUACAAGACAGUGUGAUAUAUUCAAUCCCAAAAGCCACGAUAGAUAGUAGCUGUCCAGAAGGUGCUGAUGCUAAGGAUGGUUAUAUCAAAAGUGAAGGGACAUUUUCCUGCCUAUGUAAGAGGACCGAUAACGGGAGUAUUGGCUAUGUCAAUUGGUUUGACACAAACGGCAAGGAAAUUGCAGAGAAAGGGCAAAAUGAAAGCGUUUUGUUUAUUAAAAAUAUCAGAGAUCUAGGCCAGUCUUACGUUUGCAAGGGAGUUUCUGUUUAUGGGACUCAAGAAAUAGGGGAACUGUUUAGACCACAAUUAGCAU